AUUGAACGCUGGCGGCAUGCCUUACACAUGCAAGUCGAACGGCAGCACGGGAGCAAUCCUGGUGGCGAGUGGCGAACGGGUGAGUAAUGUAUCGGAACGUGCCCAGUCGUGGGGGAUAACGCAGCGAAAGCUGUGCUAAUACCGCAUACGAUCUAUGGAUGAAAGCGGGGGAUCGCAAGACCUCGCGCGAUUGGAGCGGCCGAUAUCAGAUUAGGUAGUUGGUGGGGUAAAGGCCCACCAAGCCUGCGAUCUGUAGCUGGUCUGAGCGGACGAGCAGCCACCCUGGGACUGAAACACGGCCCAGACUCCUACGGGAGGCAGCAGUGGGGAAUUUUGGACAAUGGGCGCAAGCCUGAUCCAGCAAUGCCGCGUGCAGGAUGAAGGCCUUCGGGUUGUAAACUGCUUUUGUACGAGACGAAAAGACUCGCUCUAAUACAGUGGGUACAUGACGGUAUCGUAAGAAUAAGCACCGGCUAACUACGUGCCAGCAGCCGCAGUAA
rnacentral:rRNA from 1 species